rnacentral:lncRNA from 1 species
UGGACACAAACAACAGCAUCGUAAUGGUCAAUGUCUUACUCAUUUUGCCUUAGGUAAAGAGAAGAAAGGAAGAAGGAAAGAAAAAAAGACCAACAACGAUGUUGUGAAGUUAAAGGAUAUUUUGUUUUUAAGACUUUGUAGGCUCUGCCUGAAGAAUUCCUAAGUAUUUGAAAAUAGGAAUGUAAUUCUCAAUAGGAAGAGAGAAAAAGAAAGUCGCGAAUUUAAGUGAGAAAAGAGAAGAAAAAACAAAUAGAAAAUGAAAAAAAAAGAGUUUCUUUAUUGGAAUUAUUUCUUUGGUAUUGUUUUGUUUUGUUUUGUUUUGUUUUUUUCAAAAUCCUAUUUUCGUUCGAUCAAAUGCAAGACAAAAAUUCCUAGUAUCUUGUGAAAAGAUCGUAAACAAAUGGGUAUGCGAUUAUACUGCUUCCACGCUUACGCUUUUACGCUUACGAUUGUUGGAUUGGAAUAGGCAGUUGAAUGAGAGAGAAUGGGAAUCAACCAAAGAUACAGCCACAAGAAGCAAAAAAAAAAAGAAAUUGCAGGUGUAUUGGUAUGGUGUGAUAUGUACCGCUAGUGUGAAUUAACCUUGAAAACGAAUUCAACGAAAACUGUGAUCACAAAUAAGAAAAACGAUCCUUGUUCAGCAGGGUAUAUAUAUACCUGUGAGGUUAGGAUUGAUAUUAUACCUGCGAAGGGUAAGUUUAGGAAAGAUCAGAGAAUGUAGCUCGAAAGAUGCCUUUACCUUCCAACUUUUUCACACUUUAUAUAUGUUAUGGAAUAGAGCCUCCAACUCAACCAAAUGCGGGGAUACUGCAAAUUCAAUCUACCAUUUCUACGUAGUAUUGUUUAGCUUUUCAUAUCAACCUGGGUCGAGACACUUAGUGUGCAAAAUAGUCAUCCUAAACAAACUUUCCACAACACCCUUUAGGAAGUGUAAUGUUGCAUACCAAGCCCAAAUCCAUUCACUUCCUCUAUGCCUGUUAAACUCAAACGCAAAUUUGCCUACCAACGAUGCGGGACACCAGUCCAAAUGGUUGUGAGAAUUUAGUAGGGAACAAGUUACUAUACGUAAGGGUCGAUGCUGCAGCCCCAACUCCCCGCUAACUAUGGCUGGGCAGAAAAAGUCUGGGGCAAUAGUAGUAGAAAGUUAGUUAAUCGGUUGAGUGGGAUGAAUGGGAUUUGAGAGAAAGGUUAUGGGUAUGAAAGUGGUGGAUAGAGAGUGAAAAAAAAAGGUUAGAGGAAAAGUAGAAAAAUAGAGAAGGAAAGUAGAUAAGAAAAAUAAUCAAUAAAGGUAGGGCAAGACAGGGUUAAACGAAAAGGUGAUAGUUUGAACAUUGUUUACAUGAAAAGAAAAAAAAAAGGCGACCGUUGUAUGAACAUUUUUGUCGAUCGAUCGAUCAAUCGAUCAAUCGAUUCUCCUACCUACCAACCACCCACUUCCAACUAUUCCUCUCUACCUUACUCCCCUAUACCUUAUCCUUUGCAUCGGAGGGUUUUCCUCGGUUAGUGGGCAAGAAAAUCCAUGGUGACCACGUUAUAGAGUGGGGUUCCUUCAUGAUGGCGUGUUACAUGGGGUUUUGGGGUAUGAGCCUAUUACACCCAAAGCAUUAUGCUUUGAUACGUUGUCACAACCCCGCUCAUUACUUCCACUCGGUUGGCAGGACGAAUGAUCGUUGGCUAAGCGAUCGUUUAGGUGCGGAGAAGAAGGAUCGCUUCUGCCAUAGUGAUUGCGGCACCUCUUUAGUAGUAACUUAAAAAAAAACAAAGUUUCGCUAUGGGAAGAUGAUGAAAUUCGCUAAAGACAAGUUUCCGGAAAAUCCAAUGAUUGGUGAUGUUGAAAAGCGGGGAUUGCCAUGCAUUGAUGCAAAUCGCCUAAUGCAAAUUUUCCGUCCAAUUCACCAUUAGCUCAUCCAGGUAAGAUGUCUGAACACACAUCGGAUCACCUCCACCAAUGUUUGCUUUAGGUAAACACUCCCAUCGAAUGAGAAAAGGGUUGUUGACAACUAAACUUUGCUGUGCACCGGGGAAGUUGCGGGGCCUGUAAAUUUGACAGUAGCGGAAAAACUUCAAAGGACUGAAGGUUUGAGAAAUAAGCUUUUCUCCAGUCAUGCAGAAAACGAAAUAAAAACGCACAGUUUCGCCGGGUUUCCUUCGGGUUCCUUUCCUUUGGCUUUUACAACAUUCUCGUCUUGACAUCAUCACGAACCAACUCUCGAUCCAAUUUAAGGUAAAAACGAAUGUGUGGGUCCAAUGCGGG